rnacentral:rRNA from 1 species
UACGUAGGGGGCAAGCGUUGUCCGGAAUCAUUGGGCGUAAAGCGCGUGUAGGCGGACUGGAAGGUCUGGUGUGAAAGCCCGGGGCUCAACCCCGGAGGGUCACUGGAAACCGACAGUCUCGAGUCCGGAAGAGGAGAGUGGAAUUCCUGGUGUAGCGGUGGAAUGCGCAGAUAUCAGGAGGAACACCUAUGGCGAAGGCAGCUCUCUGGUACGUGACUGACGCUGAGACGCGAAAGCGUGGGGGAGCGAACAGG